AGCAUGCUCUUAGCCUUCCUGAGCACCUUCCCUUUUUUCAGCCAACUGCUCGCUCGCUCACCUCCCUCCUUGGCACGAUGAGCACCUGCAGCCACCAGUUCACCUCCUCCAGAUCCAUGAAGGGCUCCUGCAGCAUCGGGGGCAGCAUCGGGGGCGGCUCCAGCCGCAUCUCCUCUGUCCUGGCCGGAGGGUCCUGCCAUGCCCCCAGCACCUACGGGGGGGCCUGUGUGUCUCCUUCUCUCGCUUCUCCUUUGGGGGAGCCUGCGGGCUGGGGGGCGGCUAUGGCGGUGGCUUCGGCAGCAGCAGCAGCUUUGCUAGUGGCUUUGGGGGAGGAUAUGGUGGUGGCCUUGGUGCUGGCUUCGGUGGUGGCUUGGGUGCUGGCUUGGGUGGUGGCUUUGCUGGUGGUGAUGGGCUUCUGGUGGGCAGUGAGAAGGUGACCAUGCAGCACCUCGGUGACCGCCUGGCCUCCUACCUAGACAAGGUGCGUGCUCUGGAGGAGGCCAACGCCGACCUGGAAGUGAAGAUCCGUGACUGGUACCAGAGGCAGCGGCCCAGUGAGAUCAAAGACUAUAGUCCCUACUUCAAGACCAUCGAGGACCUGAGGCACAAGAUCAUUGCGGCCACCAUUGAGAAUGCGCAGCCCAUUUUGCAGAUUGACAAUGCCAGGCUGGCAGCUGAUGACUUCAGGACCAAUUAGGAGCACGAGCUGGCCCUGCGGCUGACUGUGGAGGCUGGCGUCAAUGGCCUGUGCCGGGUGUUGGACGAGCUGACCCUGGCCAGGACUGACCUGGAGAUGCAGAUAGAAGGCCUGAAGGAGGAGCUGGCCUACCUGAGGAAGAACCACUAGGAGGAGAUGCUUGCUCUGCGAGGUCAGACCGGUGGAGAAGUGAACGUGGAGACGGAUGCCGCACCUGGCGUGGACCUGAGCUGCAUCCUGAAUGAGAUGCGCAACCAGUACGAGCAGAUGGCAAAGCACAACCACAGAGAUGCUGGGCCUGGUUCCUGAGCAAGACCAAGGAGCUGAACAAAAAAGUGGCCUCCAGCAGUGAACUGGUACAGAGCAGCCGCAGUGAGGUGACGGAGCUCCAGAGGGUGUUCCAGGGCCUGGAGAUGGAGCUGCAGUCCCAGCUCAGCAUAAAAGCGUCCCUGGAGAACAGCCUGGAGGAAACCAAAGGCUGCCACUGCAUGCAGCUGUCCCAGAUCCAGGGACUGAUUGGCAGUGUGGAGGAGCAGCUGGCCCAGCUAUGCUGUGAGAUGGAGCAGCAGAGCCGGGAGUACCAGAUCUUGCUGGACAUGAAGACACGGCUGGAGCAGGAGAUCGCCACCUACCGCCACCUGCUGGAGGGCGAGGACGCCCACCUUUCCUCCCCACACGCAUCUGGCCAAUCCUGUUCUUCCCGAGUGGGUAAGGCUCCUGAGGCUCCCCGGCACUGCAACCCCUCUGCCUGUUUCCAUGGAGUGGGGGCCAGGCCCUUCUCCUGAGAGCUCCCAGCUCUCCCUUCUCCCUGCCCUGGAGUUGGCUUAGCUCUCAGACCCCUUCUCACCUCCUCUUCUCUCUCCCACAGUCUUCACCUCCUCUUCGUCCUCUUCGAGCCGUCAGACCUGGCCCAUCCUCAAGGAGCAGGGCUCAUCCAGCUUCAGCCAGGGCCAGUGCUCCUAGAACUGAGCUGCCUCUACCACAGCCUCCUGCCCACCAGCUGGCCUCACCUCCUGAAGGCCUGGGUCAGGACCCUGCUCUCCCAGCGCAGUUCCCAGCUGUCUCCCUGCUCCUCUACUGGUGAUGGGCUAAUAAAGCUGACUUUCUGGUUGAUGCAAA